AGAACGCUAGCGGGAGGCCUAACACAUGCAAGCCGAGCGGUAGAGUAUCUUCGGAUACUUGAGAGCGGCGUACGGGUGCGGAACACGUGUGCAACCUGCCUUUAUCUGAGGGAUAGCCUUUCGAAAGGGAGAUUAAUACCUCAUAAUAUACUGAUUGGCAUCAAUUGGUAUUGAAAGCUCCGGCGGAUAGAGAUGGGCACGCGCAAGAUUAGAUAGUUGGUGAGGUAACGGCUCACCAAGUCAAUGAUCUUUAGGGGGCCUGAGAGGGUGAUCCCCCACACUGGUACUGAGACACGGACCAGACUCCUACGGGAGGCAGCAGUGAGGAAUAUUGGACAAUGGGUGCAAGCCUGAUCCAGCCAUCCCGCGUGAAGGACGACGGCCCUAUGGGUUGUAAACUUCUUUUGUACAGGGAUAAACCUACCCUCGUGAGGGUAGCUGAAGGUACUGUACGAAUAAGCACCGGCUAACUCCGUGCCAGCCGCCGCGGUAAUA
rnacentral:rRNA from 1 species